AUUGAACGCUGGCGGCAGGCCUAACACAUGCAAGUCGAGCGGAUGAAGGGAGCUUGCUCCUGGAUUCAGCGGCGGACGGGUGGGUAAUGCCUAGGAAUCUGCCUGGUAGUGGGGGAUAACGUCUGGAAAAGGGCGCUAAUACCGCAUACGUCCUGAGGGAGCAAGUGGGGGAUCUUCGGACCUCACGCUAUCAGAUGAGCCUAGGUCGGAUUAGCUAGUUGGUGGGGUAAAGGCCUACCAAGGCGACGAUCCGUAACUGGUCUGAGAGGAUGAUCAGUCACACUGGAACUGAGACACGGUCCAGAGUCCUACGGGAGGCAGCAGUGGGGAAUCUUCGACACUGGGCGCCAGCCUUGUCCAAUCACGCCGCGUGUGCGAAGCCGAUCUUCUGAUUGCCAUGAGCUUUUAGUUGGCAGGAACGGCCGUAAGUUAAUACCUCGCUGUUUUGACGUUACCGGCAGAAUGAGCACCGGCUAACUUCGUG
rnacentral:rRNA from 1 species